rnacentral:rRNA from 1 species
AUUGAACGCUGGCGGCAGGCUUAACACAUGCAAGUCGAGCGGGGUGAUGGUGCUUGCACUAUCACUUAGCGGCGGCCGGGUGAGUAAUGCUUAGGAAUCUGCCUAUUAGUGGGGGACAACAUCUCGAAAGCGAUGCUAAUACCGCAUACGUCCUACGGGAGAAAGCAGGGGAUCCAUUGUGACCUUGCGCUAAUAGAUGAGCCUAAGUCGGAGUAGCUAGUUGGUGGGGUAAAGGACUACCAAGGCGACGAUCUGGAGCGGGUCUGAGAGGAUGAUCCGCCACACUGGGACUGAGACACGGCCAAGACUCCUACGGGAGGCAGCAGUGGGGAAUAUUGGACAAUGGGGGGAACCCUGAUCCAGCCAUGCCGCGUGUGUGAAGAAGGCCUUAUGGUUGUAAAGCACUUUAAGCGAGGAGGAGGCUCUUUUGGUUAAUACCCAAGAUGAGUGGACGUUACUCGCAGAAUAAGCACCGGCUAACUCUGUGCCAGCAGCCGCCGUAA